rnacentral:rRNA from 1 species
UACAGAGGUCUCAAGCGUUGUUCGGAUUCAUUGGGCGUAAAGGGUGCGUAGGUGGCGGGGCAAGUUUGGUGUGAAAUCCCGGGGCUCAACCCCGGAACUGCACUGAAUACUGCUUUGCUUGAGCACUGGAGAGGGAACUGGAAUUUACGGUGUAGCAGUGAAAUGCGUAGAUAUCGUAAGGAAGACCAGUGGCGAAGGCGAGUUCCUGGACAGUUGCUGACACUGAGGCACGAAGGCUAGGGGAGCAAACGGG